AUGGAUCCUGAGCUGGGAGAGGUCACAAAGGAGGAGGGGGAUGCCAUCGAUGUGAGGGCUGCAGUAGCUGAGCAAAGGAGGAGGAGGAGGCACAGGCACAGGCAGAUGGCACGACGUGCUGCCGAGGAGGAACUGGAGGCAGACUUCAACAGACGGCUUGCGCGCGAGAAAAUGUCACCCAGGAUCAGGAUUGUUGCUCCUAGUUCUGGGAUACUGAAGAUGGAGACUUCAGACAAAAAUGGGUAUCUGUUGAUGGAAGUUGCCUACUACAUCGACUUUGAUGGUUGCAUCAACCUAACUACUGGGUGGAAGGAGUUUGUGGCAGAGUCUGGAUUUGAGGAUGGUGAUGUGGUUAUGGCUGGAUUCACUAGGGUUCCUUUGCUCUUGAAUGAGCGGUUGGCGACAGUGAUACUGGAUUCCGUGGCGGAUUUUGUGUUUGCUGAUCUGGUUUGGCAGAUUUUAGAUGUUGGAGUGCCGGUGCAUCCUGAUUUUGACAAAUCAGAACACUUUCAAGAUCUUGUGAAUGUUAUUUUUGAGACACCAAAUCCUCUAGAAGAACUUGUGAAUGUUGCUGUUAAUGACAGCUAUGGUGCUCCUGAGGACAUUUCUGAUGUUGUCAAAGAUAUUAAUGAUGGAAUGUAUUCUCUUAACAUUGAUGAUGGUGAUGAAGGUGGUGACGCGGCCUUUCCAACUAUUGAUGGUGGAUCUCAUGGAAGUGACAUGCCUGUGAAGACAAACCUGAUGCAAACUCGUUUGACACAAGUGUUUACUCGUGAUGCAGUUAAGGAGAAGAAAGCUGUUUUGAAGAGGAAGAUGUCAGAUCGAAAUGCUGAUGGCACACAGAGGUGUAGCCCACGUGUGAAAGCUGGUUCCCAACCUGGUAAUAGCAAAGCUGAUGGGGAUAGUGUUGCUGUGAAGAUUGGUCCAAGCACACUUGGUGGCUCCCCUGUUCGUCGGAGUCCACGAGUUUUGACAAAUAAGAAGCCUUCUUCGUCUCCUCUUCCAGAGCGCUCUUUGUUGAAAGAAAAUAAGAAGCGUAAAGUUCCUCCUGCGAAGGUGAACAAAGGUGUGAUGAAGCAUGCUCGUGUCAAAGCUGAAGAUGCUGUAUCUGAAGAAGUUGAUUCUGAAUAUGAAUUUGCAGUGUGGAGGGUGAAGUCUAACAUUUCCCACCCUCUGAUGGGAGCUUUGUACCUGAGGAUAGAUCCUGAUACGAUGACUCUUGACAUGGGUGAGGCUAAUAAGAAGCUUAGCAUCACUAGUGAUGGUAUACAACAAUUAUUUGGGUUCCCUCGUGGUGGUCGUUCUGCACCAAGGCCGUCAGAGGACGGAUAUGACGAUGCUCUGAUGAAGUUAAGAUCGGAGCUUGAUAUUAGCAGGAACAAAGAUAUCAAGACAAAGGAUUUGAGGAAUAGGCUCAAGGUGCUCGUCAAGGAUCCUAGCAAAGAUGACCUUGCUCUGAAAGUGUUCUUCAUUAUAUUGUUUAUGAAGGUUGUUUUACCUGGUGCCGCCCCGCGUGUUUCCAGAGAGGCAGCAAUGUUUGAGGGUCUCGUCAUUGAGGACAUGGCUAAUAUGGAUUAUUGUCAGUCGAUGGUUGAUGAGCUUAGAAGGGCUGUUGUCAAGUACCAAGAUGGUGUUACCAUGGGGAAGGCAAUCACAGGCUGUGCUAUAGGGCCUAUACUAAUAUUUGAUAAAAAAGGCAACACAGAUCCAAAGACUUGGGUGUUUGGGAAGCUUCCGAUUGAGCAGGAUGAGGCUGCUGCCACCGACAGCAGGGCUGGUGAUGGUACCGAGGCUAAUGUUUCUGAUCACUAUACGAAUGAUGUUGGCUUGGAGCGCCCUGUUGUUGAUGAUGAGGCUGCUGCCACCGACAGUAGGGCUGAUGAUGGUACUGAGGCUAAUGUUUCUGAUCACCAUACAAAUGAUGUUGGCUUGGAGCGCCCUGUUGUUGAUGAGACCAGUCAUAAUGUUGAGGCUGCUGUUGACCGUGGAGUUAAUGAUCCAUCUACUGAUAAGUGCAUGGGUCCUAUUGUUGGCGAUGAGCCUUGUUCGACCGUUGGUGAUGUUCCUUUGAAUGUUAGUAGCAACAAGAUCGAUGAUGUUGCUGUGAAUGCUGCUAAGAUGACUGAUGUUGAGCGUGAGGCUGUCGUUAGUGGUGGAGAUGAUGCUCAUGGUGUUCCAUUGAGUAGUGGGCGCGAUGUUGGUACCAAAGUUGCUGACGAGGAUGUUGGUGCUGUGAGCAUACUUGAUGCCAAAUCGUCUGGUGUUGGUAUUGCUGGGAAUGAAAAUGUUUCUGAUUGUGAAGAUUUCCCGCUAGAGAAUUUCCCGCCUGGAGGUCUUGAUUAUGGUGAUGCAUUGGAAGAUGCGUCUAGUGUGGAGGAGGUGCCAUCCGAGGAUGAUGAUUUACUUCUGUUGAUUUCUUCUGGCCCCUUGACGCAGGAGGCGCUCGUGUCGCCCCAGGAUUUUCUUUCUUCAGACCCUGAAAGCACAGCGAUAUUGGUGUCCUCACAAGAUAUCCCAUCGUCAAACCCUGAAACUAGAGGCAUAUUGGUGUCAUCACAGGAACUCCCGUCGUCAAACGCUGAUAGUGCAGAAGGUGCUAAUGUUGUUAAGGUUGAUUUGUUUUAUUUCGCUGUGACGAGGUUGCGCACGAACCGUUCAAAACGUGACAAGCCGAUGUUUCAAAAUAAAGAAUGUGAUGCCAGUGUUGGUUCUAUUGCUAAAGCGUUUGUCCCGACUGGCAUGCUCAACUCAGACAGUGCUGACGUUACCAAGAUCAGUGAUGGAAAUAUUGAUUCCAAUGUGCUAAAUUGGUUCACGAGAUCAGGGGCUGAUGGUUUUGACCAAGUAGCUUUUUUCCCUACUUUUGAUCCACCGUCAUUUGCGGCUACCAUGAAGCUUAGCGAAGAAUCUAGGCAUUGGUGCUUGAUUGUUCUGAAUUUGAGGUUCCGUCGUUUCGAGUGUCUUGAUUCACUCCAUGAUGAAACCUGGGGUGAUGCAGUUAGAUUCUUAAGGAAUAUGACAAAUAACAUAAAGAAGCUUUGGAGGGAGUCCAGCGUAGACAAGGCCAAACCGUUCUCGCCGGUGCAUAAUGAUGGUUUCUCUUGCGAGUUUGUGUGGGUGCCGCAGCAGGAAAACACGAAGACUUUGCUGUAUACCUGCAAAACUAGCGAUGUGUUUGAUGUUGACUUCCAGGGUUUGUUUGGCAUCGAACCCUAGAGCCCCACUACACCCAAGAAUCCCAUUGUGGAAUUGAUAGACAGCGAUGAUGGUGCGUUUGACAAGAUUGCUGGCAUGGGAAGAGUCACCAGGAGCGCUGCUGCCAAAGGUUUAUCUCCACUUGCUGGAAUUGUGGCUCGUAGAGCUGGUGGUGCUAGGAAGGAUCCUGCUUUGGAUUCUGGCAAUGUUGUAAGCACGAAGCGUGCGCCCAGAGCUCCUAUAAAGUUUUGCUCCCCUGUGCAGCAACUUCACCCUCAUAAAUUCCCUCACCUGGACAAGGCUUGCAAGUUGUAUAAUCUGUUGCUUAGUGAUGAAGCAUGUGAGAAGUAUGCUGAGAAUACAUUCUCAAUGAUACCUCAGUCUGAUGAUAGUGUAACUAGCUCCACUAGGAAACGCAUCUGGGAAGUUUUUGCACCUGGGCAAAUGAUGGAGGGUGAUGUAAUGGACUUCCUCAUUGAUGAUUGGAAGAAAGAUCCCGAGAGAAAUGCUGAUUUUGCGUAUGGAAAAAGGGUAUUGCUGAGUCCAUAUUUCAUCACGGUUGUGCUUGACUGUACGUUUUACGGUGAUGAAAAUAAAGUGUUUAAUGUGGAGAGUGCAGCGAGAGAUUUCAAGAGCUAUGUUAAAGAAAAGGAAGACUUGCUCAGUGCUGACCUUAUCAUGAUGCCUCUAUUCAAGCCUACGGUUUUACCAAAGGAUAAGAAAGUGAACCACUUUUCCUUAUAUGUCAUGAAUCGGUACCGAAGUAGCGUUGACAUCCUUAACUCUUUACCUUAUCUGAAGAACCAUCGUCCUUCAAAGAACACCUAUCAUAAAGACUGCGAGAAGAUUAUCUCCAGGUUGGUCCAAGUAAUGAAGGCUGUGUAUGGUGAUGCUCAAUACAAUGCAAGCAAGCAACCCAAAUGGGAGGUUUUUGCAAAGAAACCAACGUUUGUGAAGGUUCCACUUCAAGGGGCGAAUGAAUGUGGCCAUUAUACUCUGAACACCGGACCACUCAGAAGGACAUCUAUGGAGGGGAUGCAGCAGCGAAUCAGGCAGAUCGCCGGUGGCGACCAGGCAAAGUUAGCCAGGUUGAAGGAGAUCCUUACUUGGUUUGACAAUGAGUGGGAGAUUUCGAGGACGGUGAGGGCCAUGUGGCAAUGUAUGCGAAAGAGCGAGACGACGGCGAUGAGGGCGGCGAUGUACUCCUCGGCGGCAGUCACACCGCAGUCCUUUGAGUUUAUCGAGUAUCUCCUCUGGGCGAUGGAGCAGACAGAUUCGCCCGAGGCGAAAGUCAGGCGGAGGUGGUGGGCGUACAGGUCGAAGGUCGAGCACCCAGAGGAUAACGAAUCGAUCGAGUACGGUGUGCCGUCCGUGAGGGUGCAGAGCCAGCCGGAGCCACAGGAGUAUUCGUUCUCCCACCACAAGAGGAGGCCGGAUGGCGCGACGUCGCUUCCCCGCCGUUCUCCACGGUUCCCUCGACGCUCGCCGCGUUUCAACGGCGUCGGUAGGGUUUAA
rnacentral:rRNA from 1 species